CCUACGGGGGACAGCAGUGGGGGAUAUUGCACAAUGGGGGGAACCCUGAUGCAGCGACGCCGCGUGAGUUAAGAAGUAUUUCGUUAUGUAAAGCUCUAUCAGCAGGGAAGAAUAAAUGACGGUACCUGAGUGAGACGCCCCGUCUAACUACGGGCCCGCAGCCGCGGUAAUACGUAGGGGGCAAGCGUUAUCCGGAUUUACUGGGUGUAAAGGGAGCGUAGACGGCGCUGCAAGCCAGUUGUGAAAGCCCGCGGCUCAACUGCGGUAGUGCAUUUGGAACUGUAUGGCUGGAGUGCAGGAGAGGCAGGCGGAAUUCCUAGUGUAGCGGUGAAAUGCGUAGAGAUUAGGAGGAACACCAGUGGCGAAGGCGGCCUGCUGGACUGUAACUGACGUUGAGGCUCGAAAGCGUGGGGAGCAAACAGGAUUAGAUACCCUUGUAGUC
rnacentral:rRNA from 1 species